rnacentral:rRNA from 1 species
AUCCACAGCCAUAUCACUCAGCAGACCAGUUACUCACUGAGCUAAGCUGGGCUGAGCCUGGCCAGUACCUGUAUGGGAGACCACAUGGGAAAACUAGAAUGCUGUUGAAA